CUGUGAGUUCUGUGUCUUGAGACGUUUAAGGUCAAGUUUCAUGCAUUUACUUUAUAAUGAUAAAAGGAUUUGCUACACCUCAAAAAUAACCAGAAAGUAUACUUCCUGCUUUUAAUAAAAGUUUAUAGUCCACUCAAAGCUGUCCUUUGUUAAUUGUUAUAUAAGACAAUUCAUUUGUUGUCUGCUUACGUAGUAUUCCUUAAUAGAGCAGGAGACAUCCUGACUUCGGUAAUCAUCAUGAACAUUACUAGUGGGAAGUGUUAAUGGUUUAUGUGCAUGUUUUGUUACAUUCUGACUUAGGUAAUCGUCAUAAACAUUACUAGUGGGAAGUGUUAAUGGUUUAUGUGCAUGUUUUGUUUCUUUAGGGAUAUGUGUUUGGCUGUGUUCAUCUCAAUGUUCACUUGGAUCUGCUCUUAUAUUUUUGGGGAUGGGAUAUCUAUUGUGUCAGAAUAAUUUGUAGGAGGAUAUUUGAACCUUACGUACGUGAAGCGUUUUGUUUCCUUCAGUUGUACCCUUUAUGUAUAUUGCUUGUCUGGCUACCUUAGUACGGGAGGAUAUUUGAACCUUACGCACGUGAAGCGUUUUGUUUCCUUCAGUUGUACCCUUUAUGUAUAUUGCUUGUCUGGCUACCUUUUUCUUCCUUGUGCUGGUAGGUCGCUUUUGGAUUUUACCAGUUCUCUGCUCUUAGGGCUAUUGUCUAUUCAAUAUGAAGAGUCAUCAUUUCCUCUAUUUGUUUUUUCCAACAUAUGCUGCGCGCGUGCUCUGUGACAUUAUCACUCUCCCUCUCUUGUUCACACAUGGCUCUGGGGUCUGUAGCCGCCUGAAGCAACAAUGUUUUUGGAACAGCAUUGGAGCAAACAAAUGCUAUCUCAUACACAGGGGUGACUCUGUGUUGGGACAUUUUCAGGGUUGAGCAAUUAAGUUUAUGCCAAUUUUCUGUUGGUUAACUCUUGUUUUUCUCUUUUUUGUUUUAUUCUCUCACAGACUGCUUUAAAGCUUGUAUCUGCCAUUAAAGGUAGCCGGGAGAAACAAGGCAAAUCACCCAGGAAGCUGU
rnacentral:lncRNA from 1 species